AAAAACUUAAUUCCUAGGUUUCCAUGUCUAACGUUUGAUUGUCCGUCUUAUUUAAAAAAAAUAUGAAAAAAUUUAAAAAGAUAAGUCAUAUAUAAAGUAUUAUUCAUGUUUUAUCAUCUAACAGUAAUAAAAAUACUAAUCAUAAAAAUUUUAUAUAAGACGGACGUUCAAACGUUGGACACGGAAACCCAAGAAUUGAGUCUUU
rfam:Oryza sativa Japonica Group DNA, chromosome 9, cultivar: Nipponbare, complete sequence.